CCUACGGGAGGCAGCAGUGAGGAAUAUUGGUCAAUGGACGAGAGUCUGAACCAGCCAAGUAGCGUGAAGGAUGACUGCCCUAUGGGUUGUAAACUUCUUUUAUAUGGGAAUAAAAUGUUCCACGUGUGGGAUUUUGUAUGUACUAUAUGAAUAAGGAUCGGCUAACUCCGUGCCAGCAGCCGCGGUAAUACGGAGGAUCCGAGCGUUAUCCGGAUUUAUUGGGUUUAAAGGGAGCGUAGGUGGAUUGUUAAGUCAGUUGUGAAAGUUUGCGGCUCAACCGUAAAAUUGCAGUUGAAACUGGCAGUCUUGAGUACAGUAGAGGUGGGCGGAAUUCGUGGUGUAGCGGUGAAAUGCUUAGAUAUCAAGAAGAACUCCGAUUGCGAAGGCAGUUCACUGGACUGCAACUGACACUGAGGCUCGAAAGUGUGGGUAUCAAACAGGAUUAGAUACCCCAGUAGUC
rnacentral:rRNA from 1 species